GCCUCGGCCUCAUUACCUUCAAUUACAGUAAUUGUUGCCUCUCUCCAGUGUUUUGCAUUUCUCCCUGGGGGAAAUCUCUCUGCUGCUUCUUUUCCAGUCUUGCUCCAGCUUUCUCCUAUCGAUUGGAUCGCUCUGGCCCCGAUUCUAGGAGCGAUGCCUCCAGGAGGAUAAAUGCAAAUCGCCCUAUUGAUUGGGAGGAGUAGGAGUGCAGCUCGUUUGGGGGAGGGAGAAUUCGUUUUAAAUGAAGAAAAAAAGUAAAGUGAUGAGCAUGACAGGAAAUGCUUCACUUUCUGGGCCUCUUAAGUAGUGUCUCUUUAUCAUGUCCUGUGUCUGAGGGGGAUGUAGAUUGGUGCCAUCUGGAUAAUAUAUUACAUGCAUGGAGAGGUGGAUCCCGCGACACAGACACUAGUCUGGUUUCCUACUUAUUUUAGGUGAACAUGUAUCACUGAUCAUUUCUGGAACGCAGCUCCCCUCCUCCAGUUUGAAGGUGACUGAGUUUCACUGGGGACACGCUAAUUGCUGCUGAAAAUGAGCAGGGAGUAAUGUGCAGGCCUCUAUCCACCUCCUUGAACUGCCCAGUUACAGGGGUAAGGCUCCUUGGGAGUUAUUAACCUUGAGGGAACCUGCUCAGCAGCCUGUCUGUCACAGGGGAGCGGCUGGAGGAGCCAGCCUGUGGGCUCUGCACAGCCUUGGAUCCUGAAAUGGCUACUUGCUUCAGUAAAUCCAUGGCCAGACUCACAAGUGGAAAGCCCAAAGAAUUGCACAGUCACGGAAAGGCCUGAACCCCUCAUGGCGGCCAUCAUCUCAUGCCCAUGCUGGGACUCUCACGCACAUGGAGAUUCUGGAGAAGGUGAUGGAUGUGAUUUGGCACUUCACUGGAGGGACUCUGACAUUUGGAAGCAGACUCUUGCACGGCUGCACUACUCACAUGCUCCUGAGCCUCUUCUGGAAUAUGACUGUAGAGAAGAGAAGGUGUUGUCCUGAGUUUUUGCUGGCCUGUCAGGAGAAAUGCUGUUCUGGAAUAGUUCAGGACACUAGGUGCUCACCUGAAUUGGUCUUUUAGAAGGAUUCGUCAGUCCUUCCAGAAACUUGGCACUGCAACUGUUGGCUUCUGAAACGAAGUAAAAGAAUCAAACCAUCAUUUAUGUGGCCUGCAAAGACUCGUUGGAUGGAUCUCUUGUUUUAGUUGGCAAUUUCUUCUUAAAGACAAGAUUUCACAUCUGCGACAGAGCUUUGAGCUGAUGCAGAGAAUGUGCUCCUGUGAGAUGCUGCCCAAAGCAGUCCCUUUCCGUGAGAUGCCCAGAGGCUGAUUUUGCAACCAGGUCCUUCUGUUCAUGUUGGCUUCAAAGGCCUUCACGUAUCUGGUGGGAGGGAGCAGCCCUGUGCUCUGCAGGCUCUGACUACAGGCUCUGUAGUCCAUUCAAGUGGAGGCUUUAGGCUGCUCUCCCAUGGCUGCUGGAGACAUGUAAUGCGGCCUCAGGCUCCUGACGCUUUCCUUGAUGGUUCGUUAUAGUCAUUAUCCCACAUUCCUUCUGGUUGCAGAACAUGUUGUUAUUAUUGCUUUGUA